rnacentral:rRNA from 1 species
CCCCAGACUCCUACGGGAGGCAGCAGUGGGGAAUAUUGGACAAUGGGCGCAAGCCUGAUCCAGCCAUGCCGCGUGAGUGAUGAAGGCCCUAGGGUUGUAAAGCUCUUUUGUGCGGGAAGAUAAUGACGGUACCGCAAGAAUAAGCCCCGGCUAACUUCGUGCCAGCAGCCGCGGUAAUACGAAGGGGGCUAGCGUUGCUCGGAAUCACUGGGCGUAAAGGGUGCGUAGGCGGGUCUUUAAGUCAGGGGUGAAAUCCUGGAGCUCAACUCCAGAACUGCCUUUGAUACUGAAGAUCUUGAGUUCGGGAGAGGUGAGUGGAACUGCGAGUGUAGAGGUGAAAUUCGUAGAUAUUCGCAAGAACACCAGUGGCGAAGGCGGCUCACUGGCCCGAUACUGACGCUGAGGCACGAAAGCGUGGGGAGCAAACAGGAUUAGAUACCCCGGUAAUA